GCUGGGUGCAGUGGCGGGCGCCUGUAAUCCCAGCUACUCAGGAGGCUGAAGCAGGAGAAUUGCUUGAACCCGGGAGGCGGAGCUUGCAGUGAGUUGAGGUCACGCUGCUGCAUUCCGGCCUGGGUGACAGAGCAAGACUCUGCCUCAA
ensembl:misc_RNA Metazoa_SRP Metazoan signal recognition particle RNA